rnacentral:rRNA from 1 species
GAUGAACGCUGGCGGCGUGCCUAAUACAUGCAAGUCGAGCGAACGGACGAGAAGCUUGCUUUUCUGAUGUUAGCGGCGGACGGGUGAGUAACACGUUGAUAACCUACCUAUAAGACUGGGAUAACUUCGGGAAACCGGAGCUAAUACCGGAUAAUAUUUUGAACCGCAUGGUUCAAAAGUGAAAGACGGUCUUGCUGUCACUUAUAGAUGGAUCCGCGCUGCAUUAGCUAGUUGGUAAGGUAACGGCUUACCAAGGCAACGAUGCAUAGCCGACCUGAGAGGGUGAUCGGCCACACUGGAACUGAGACACGGUCCAGACUCCUACGGGAGGCAGCAGUAGGGAAUCUUCCGCAAUGGGCGAAAGCCUGACGGAGCAACGCCGCGUGAGUGAUGAAGGUCUUCGGAUCGUAAAACUCUGUUAUUAGGGAAGAACAUAUGUGUAAGUAACUGUGCACAUCUUGACGGUACCUAAUCAGAAAGCCACGGCUAACUACGUG